rnacentral:rRNA from 1 species
GUACGCUAUUCAGAGUUUGAUCCUGGCUCAGAACGAACGCUGGCGGCAUGCCUAACACAUGCAAGUCGAACGAGACCUUCGGGUCUAGUGGCGCACGGGUGCGUAACGCGUGGGAAUCUGCCCUUGGGUUCGGAAUAACUCGCCGAAAGGCGUGCUAAUACCGGAUGAUGUCGUAAGACCAAAGAUUUAUCGCCCAGGGAUGAGCCCGCGUAAGAUUAGGUAGUUGGUGAGGUAAAGGCUCACCAAGCCGACGAUCUUUAGCUGGUCUGAGAGGAUGAUCAGCCACACUGGGACUGAGACACGGCCCAG